rnacentral:lncRNA from 1 species
GCAGUGUCACCUUCUUCAGCCUCGAGUUUAGACACGAGCUUCAUUCCAAGCAGCCAUGGUAAACGUGACAAUUCGUCAAACAUGUGGUGUGCACUGCCAACGCCAGCGUAAUAUUGAGCAACGAGGCCCAUCGUGGACAUGAAGAGGAAACGAGAUGGUGUAUCAUGCGUCCAAGUAAACGUGCUUUAAUUUUUUUUUCCAGCCAGAAGCCCAGAAUCCAU